UCUAAUGGAUGAGCAAAGAAAUUGGUUUUUUGAGAUGGAAACUACUCUUGGUGAAAAUACUGUAAA
rnacentral:pre_miRNA from 1 species